GGCACGGGGCACAGGCAAGAAUGCACGUUCUGGCUCAUUAGGGAUUUAAAACACAAGUAGAAGAAGCUGAAUUCUAUGGCAGCAGGCUAUGCUGUAUUUUUAGAAAGGAGAAAGGAAAUGGCAUGAAUCCAGAAGAAAACAUAACAAUCCAAACAAAAAGUAUGGAAAAGAGCGAGUAUGGAAAAGGAGUAAGAAAAAGUUACAAGAGAAGAUGUUUAAAAUGACAUUAUAAGGACAGAAGAGAAGCAGUCUGGAACCAUAUGCUGUUCAGACCCAGAGCUGCCGAGCUAAAGAAGAGGUCUGAAGCAAGCCUGGGCUAUCCCUACAACGCUCUUCUGUUGAGCCCACACAAGAAAAUAGCCUGCAAAAAAAGGAAACAACACUCAAGGCAGGAAUAACAGAAUCCAGAAUCCACAGUCUGACAUCAUAGGAUCCAAACGUGACUCAAAGUGCAGAGAAACAGGUACAUGGAACACACCUUCUAGAGAGAAGAAAACCAAUGGAAUCCAUCCUGGAGAUGCACCAAGGUUACAGCCAACAGAAGCAUGUUUUGAAGUGACUUUUGGAACUAAAUGAAAUAAAGCAUGACUUGAGUGAGGGCUGGGGUUGUGGCUCAGUGGUGAGUGCUUGCCUAGCACAUAUGAGGCACUGAAUUUGACUCUCAGCACGGCAUAGAAAUAAAUGAAGGUGUCUACAACUAAAAAUAUAAUAAGAGAAAAACAACAACUUGAAUGAGAAAAACACUCUAGAAAAAUGGUAAAUCUUAGCAGAGAAAUAGAAGCAAUAAAACAGGGCCAAAUGGAAAUUAUAACCCUUAAAAAUAUGAUUUCUGAAAUUAAAAGUUUACUGAAGUUGAGUGCAGGGGCACCUGUGAUCCCAGUAACUUGAGUGUCUAAGACAAGUUCAAGGCCAGCCUUAACUUAGCGGGGCCUUAAGCAGCUCACUGAGACCCUGUCUCAAAAUAAAAAGGACUGGUAGAGUGCCCCUGGGUAACACACACGGUUCACUGGAGGGAUUUUACAGCUGGAGGCCAUGACAGAAGGAAGAAUAUUGGAAAAGAGUCACUGGAUAGAUAGAUAAAUGAUAGGUAGGUAGAUAGACAGGAGAUUUCUAAGGAUAAGGAAAAAAGAAAAGAUUAAAGAUACAAUGAAGAACAAGAAUCUCAGGGAACUGCUAGAGAACAUAAAAUGUUCAAACAUUAGUGUAAUCACAACCCCAAAGGACAGGAGGGAAAACAAGACCAAAAAAUGUGCUUGAAGAAAUAGUGGCCCAAAAUUUCCAAAUUUGAUGAUAGAACGUCACAAAUGCAAGAUGCUAGACUAACUGCCAGCACAGUGAACGUGAAGAAGCCCCCACUAGACACAACCCACUGCUGAAAGCCAGGGACAGCGUUCAGCCUCAGCCUCAGGAGAAUAAGGGCUUGAGUUGUGACCAACUUCUUAGAAACCAUGGAGCCAGAAAACAGUAGGACAACAUUUUUAAAUUGCUGAAGGAAAAAAUACUAUGUAAUCAGAAAUUCUAUAUCCAGAAAAAUGUGUUUCAAGGAUAAAAUCAAAGACUUUUUCAGAUAAAAGUGAGAACUCCUCGCCCACAGAAUCACUAAGGGGACAUCUGCAGAUGGAGGGACAUGACAUCAGACAAACCCCAAGCACCUUACCCUGAAGAGUGUUAGAAAUGGACCUGGGUAAAUGCAGAUGACCUCCUUUCCUGAAGUUGUUUUCUUAAUUGUUUCAUAAAUCAUAUAAUUGUUCACAGAAAAAUUAUUUUCUUGUAAGGUUUAUAAGGCAUGUAGAUACGGUACAGGUAAUAACAACAGAAGCAACCGAGAAACACUGGCACAUUGUGUUCCUUAGCAACCCCUAAAAGAAGGCAAAGACCCACAACCAAGAUGCCAACAGGAAAAUGGAAAUGGGAUUCUAAGAAGCACACAGAUCAGUUAAAAGUUAACAGGUGGGAAAAAGACAAACCACAUAAACCAUAAGCUUAAAAAGGUCAAAGGAGGUCAGGUAUGGUGGCCACAUCUGUAAUCCCAGUGACUCGGGAGGCUGAGGCAGGAGGAUUGCAAGUCAAGGCCAGUCUUGACAACUAAGCGAGACCCUGUCCCAAAAUAAAAAACUAUAAUGGCAAGGGAUGUGGCUCAGAGGUAAAGCACCCUUGGGUUCGAUCCCCAGCACCAAGAAAAAGGUCAAAUUGGCUUAUAUUAAUAUUGGACAAAUCUUAAAACAAAAUCUCACCAGGAAUAAACAGGGACACUUCACAGUGAUGGAGGAUAAAAUUCACCAUGAAGAUGUAAUGUUCAUAAAUGUAUAUUUUCCCAGUGAAAAAUUUUCAAAUAAAGCAAAACAUGGACAGAAUUAAAGGAAGACAGAAAAUUCCACAAUCAGAAUUGGAAAUGUGAACACUCUUAUCUCAGCAAUGACUAACCCAACUAUACAAUAAUUAGCAAAGACAUGGAGUCUAGUAAAAGCAAUGUUUGAAGGGAAAUGAAAAGUGUUAAAUGCCUAGAUCGGAAAAUAGCAAAAAUCUUAAAUCCAAUAUGUAAGCUUCCACUUUAAGAGACUAGAAAAAGAUGAGCAAAUUAAACCUAAAGCCAGGAGGAAAAAAGGAAAUAAUAAAGAUAAGAGAAGCAUUAAAAGAAAAUAGUACAGAAUAUCAAUGAAAUCAAGAUCUGGUUCCUUGAAAAGAUUAAUAAAAUUGAUAAUUAUCAUAGGUUAUUACAGAAUAAGAAGAGUGUGCUAUGAAUGACUCAGUGGCAACCAACCUGGCAGCCCACAUGGAAUGGCAAAGUCCUUGAAAAACACAAAUUGCCAAACUUAUCUAAGAAAACUAUAAACUUUGAACAAUCCUAAAUUGAAUUUAUUAAAAAAAGAAAAAAAGAAAAGCGCUUCCCAUAAAGCCAACUCUAGGCUGACAUGGCCUCAGUAGGAAAUGCUGCCCUUGGCUAAGGGAAGAAAUAGCAUCAAUCCUACAAGGACUCUUUCAGGAUUUCAGGAAGUAGAGGCAACACUUCGAUGUGCUUUAUGACACUUCUGUCAUCCUGACUCCAAACCAGACAAAGACCUUACAAGAAAAGGUAAGUACAGACCCACAUCCCUCAAGAUCAUAGACGCAAAAAUCCAUAACAAAAUAUCAAUCAAACCAUAUAGAAAAAGAAGGAGCAAGUGGGGCAUAUUUUUAAGAAUAUAUGUUGAGUUUAGCAUACGAAAAUCAAUACGAUUCACCACAUUGAAGCAAUAAAAAAGAAAGCUAUAUUUACCAUCACAACAGAUAAAGGAAAAAGCAUUGGAUAAAAUUCAAUGCUCCUUCCUUCUUGACAAAACCUCUCAGAAACCUAGAAAAAGAAGUCAACUUUCAAAACCUACUUAAGAGUUUCUUGGGACUGGGGCUGUAGCCCAAGGCAGAGCGUUUGUUUGCCUAGCAUGUGUGAGG